GACGUGAGAGAGCUUUCCGCUGAAGAUGACGGGCCUGCUUUCCAGGGCGGCUUGUCGAAAGCCCGGGAGCAUCUGGCCGCUUCCGCCUCAACCAUGGGCUGGGGUUUUGUGAGCUACUAGUGCCAAGGGUUUUCUUUCCACCAGACCACCGCUAUAAGUUUAUACCAUGGAUAGCACAAAGGAGAAGUGUGACAGUUACAAAGAUGAUCUUCUGCUUAGGAUGGGACUUAAUGAUAAUAAAGCAGGAAUGGAAGGAUUAGAUAAAGAGAAAAUUAACAAAAUUAUAAUGGAAGCCACGAAGGGGUCCAGAUUUUAUGGAAAUGAGCUCAAGAAAGAAAAGCAAGUCAACCAACGAAUUGAAAAUAUGAUGCAACAAAAAGCUCAAAUCACCAGCCAACAGCUAAGAAAAGCACAAUUACAGAUUAACAUCAAAUUUUAACAUUAUAAAAGCAAUUCUACAGAGGAACAUUUACAUUAUGCUACAGUAUCUUCAGUUGUACCUUCCUGUUCAGCAUAAACAUCAUAUGCCAAAGAGGUUGACAGAUUUGCAAUGGAAUUAGAACAA
rnacentral:lncRNA from 1 species